GAUGGAUCCGCGCUGCAUUAGCUAGUUGGUAAGGUAACGGCUUACCAAGGCAACGAUGCAUAGCCGACCUGAGAGGGUGAUCGGCCACACUGGAACUGAGACACGGUCCAGACUCCUACGGGAGGCAGCAGUAGGGAAUCUUCCGCAAUGGGCGAAAGCCUGACGGAGCAACGCCGCGUGAGUGAUGAAGGUCUUCGGAUCGUAAAACUCUGUUAUUAGGGAAGAACAUAUGUGUAAGUAACUGUGCACAUCUUGACGGUACCUAAUCAGAAAGCCACGGCUAACUACGUGCCAGCAGCCGCGGUAAUACGUAGGUGGCAAGCGUUAUCCGGAAUUAUUGGGCGUAAAGCGCGCGUAGGCGGUUUUUUAAGUCUGAUGUGAAAGCCCACGGCUCAACCGUGGAGGGUCAUUGGAAACUGGAAAACUUGAGUGCAGAAGAGGAAAGUGGAAUUCCAUGUGUAGCGGUGAAAUGCGCAGAGAUAUGGAGGAACACCAGUGGCGAAGGCGACUUUCUGGUCUGUAACUGACGCUGAUGUGCGAAAGCGUGGGGAUCAAACAGGAUUAGAUACCCUGGUAGUCCACGCCGUAAACGAUGAGUGCUAAGUGUUAGGGGGUUUCCGCCCCUUAGUGCUGCAGCUAACGCAUUAAGCACUCCGCCUGGGGAGUACGACCGCAAGGUUGAAACUCAAAGGAAUUGACGGGGACCCGCACAAGCGGUGGAGCAUGUGGUUUAAUUCGAAGCAACGCGAAGAACCUUACCAAAUCUUGACAUCCUUUGACAACUCUAGAGAUAGAGCCUUCCCCUUCGGGGGACAAAGUGACAGGUGGUGCAUGGUUGUCGUCAGCUCGUGUCGUGAGAUGUUGGGUUAAGUCCCGCAACGAGCGCAACCCUUAAGCUUAGUUGCCAUCAUUAAGUUGGGCACUCUAAGUUGACUGCCGGUGACAAACCGGAGGAAGGUGGGGAUGACGUCAAAUCAUCAUGCCCCUUAUGAUUUGGGCUACACACGUGCUACAAUGGACAAUACAAAGGGCAGCGAAACCGCGAGGUCAAGCAAAUCCCAUAAAGUUGUUCUCAGUUCGGAUUGUAGUCUGCAACUCGACUACAUGAAGCUGGAAUCGCUAGUAAUCGUAGAUCAGCAUGCUACGGUGAAUACGUUCCCGGGUCUUGUACACACCGCCCGUCACACCACGAGAGUUUGUAACACCCGAAGCCGGUGGAGUAACCUUUUAGGAGCUAGCCGUCGAAGGUGGGACAAAUGAUUGGGGUGAAGUCGUAACAAGGUAGCCGUAUCGGAAGGUGCGGCUG
rnacentral:rRNA from 1 species